rnacentral:tRNA from 1 species
GCGAGAGUGUUGGAAUUGGUAGACAAGCUAGACUCAGGAUCUAGUGCUCGCAAGGGCGUGAGGGUUCGAAUCCCUCCUCUCGCA